rnacentral:rRNA from 1 species
CCUACGGGUGGCUGCAGUGAGGAAUAUUGGUCAAUGGCCGAGAGUCUGAACCAGCCAAGUAGCGUGAAGGAAGACUGCCCUAUGGGUUGUAAACUUCUUUUAUAUGGGAAUAAAAUGUUCCACGUGUGGGUUUUUGUAUGUACCACAUGAAUAAGGAUCGGCUAAUUCCGUGCCAGCAGCCGCGGUAAUACGGAGGAUCCGAGCGUUAUCCGGAUUUAUUGGGUUUAAAGGGAGCGUAGGUGGGUUGUUAAGUCAGUUGUGAAAGUUUGCGGCUCAACCGUGAAAUUGCAGUUGAAACUGGAAGUCUUGAGUGCGGUAAAGGUAGGCGGAAUUCGUGGUGUAGCGGUGAAAUGCUUAGAUAUCACGAAGAACUCCGAUUGCGAAGGCAGUUCACUGGACUGCAACUGACGCUGAGGCUCGAAAGUGUGGGUAUCGAACAGGAUUAGAUACCCGAGUAGUC